rnacentral:lncRNA from 1 species
AGUUUAAGAGCAGCUCCACCCCUUUGGGAAAUAAUUGCUUAGGCAAUUGGGCAAUAGGCAGUUGGCUUUUGAGGUUUGAUUUUUGUUUGUGUUUUGCUGCAGUUGAGUUGAAGAGUUGUGUUUUUAAUAACCUACAGUCAAUUAUAAAUCAUGCUUUGAUAGAAACCAACUGAUUCAGCUGUAACUUCCCAACUUGAGGCCAUUUGAAGAACACAAUGAUCAAUUUAUGUCUAUGAGCCUUUGUUGAAUCUUGUUUAGAAUUUCGGGUUUCCUUUAGGAGAUGAUUCUCACACACCCAUUUUUAGCCUCUCACAUACCCCUAUUUACUUUUGGCUAUUUGUUGACCCUAAAAACUACCAAGCCUACGUGGUGCACAGGCUGAGU